rnacentral:rRNA from 1 species
CCUACGGGGGGCAGCAGUGAGGAAUAUUGGUCAAUGGGCGAGAGCCUGAACCAGCCAAGUCGCGUGAGGGAGUACUGCCCUAUGGGUUGUAAACCUCUUUUGUCGGGGAGCAAAAGCCGGACGUGUCCGGCUGUGAGAGUACCCGAAGAAAAAGCAUCGGCUAACUCCGGGCCAGCAGCCGCGGUAAUACGGAGGAUGCGAGCGUUAUCCGGAUUUAUUGGGUUUAAAGGGGGCGCAGGCGGAUUUUUAAGUCAGCGGUAAAAUCGUGGGGCUCAACCCCAUCCAGCCGUUGAAACUGGGGAUCUAGAGUGUGCGAGAGGUAUGCGGAAUGCGUGGUGUAGCGGUGAAAUGCAUAGAUAUCACGCAGAACCCCGAUUGCGAAGGCAGCAUACCGGUGCACAACUGACGCUCAGGCACGAAAGCGUGGGUAUCGAACAGGAUUAGAUACCCUGGUAGUC